GGCGCGGCUAGGUCGACGGACCGAACAAUGGCAUCCCGCAUUCUGCCAUCCGCCGCGCAGCUUCUUCUCAAACGGUGCGG
rnacentral:ncRNA from 12 species